CCCCUCUUAUUUUUUAUAAUGUCAGGAAGCAGAAUUGAUGUUAGUUAACCAGUAAGAAUGGCAUUCCACAUAGUACCAUGAGGUCUUAACACAUUACUAACUAAUAAUAAAUUAAUUAAUCAGCCAGCAGGAAGUGAUGUAAUAUCAAGGGAGCUAUAAAGGGAUGCCCCUAUAUUGCCUCUCAUUCUGUAGUUGGUAUUCAAUGAGGUUGCACUUGUUCCUGUAAAAAGGAAUAGUUUCGUUCAGGAUUUGAAAUUUUCCUAAGUUCUCUGUUUGGUGACAUGUAUAAACAGAGGUAGACUAUAAGGUUCCACCAUUCUUGAUUGAAAAUAGGGAACGUAACAUCAUCUAAUUUCAACCAAAUUUAUAUAUAUUUUUUUGAAGUCUAUCUAGAUAUUAUAUUUAUCGAAUUGAAUAUGUGAUUGGAUGUAAUCAUUGGAUAUUCUAAACCUUUCUAAUCAAUGGUAAUCACUCCUACUAUAAGAACUGAUUCCAAACCCCUGAUGAAGUCCUAACGGACGAAACGCGUUGGGUUUUGCAACGUCUGGUUAACAAAGUCCUUAUCACAAACAUCUGGUUGGAGAUACAUCCAUUUCGAGUUCUGACUGUGAUCACCUGGCUGUAAAAUCCUCACAUCCAACUGUAAUUUAUGUAUAAGAUUGUAAUAUUGUUUUAUAUGAAUUUUUAGAAGGUUGUGUCAAUAACGAACGCUUAGGAUAAAUAUCGUUUGU